AAAUGGUUAAAGUGAAAGUAGAUGUCGCCGCCAUUUUGAGUGAACCAGUACUUAGUGUCUAUAGGGAAGAUCUAAAGAACGCUUCCACAGUGGGGAUCGAACCCGUGACCUCCUGGUUGCUAGGCGGACACCAUAUCCUUUACGCCACAGCUACCUCAGGGUUUGGGGUAACGGUACAGUUUGUCAAGACACCAAACGCAAAGCCUAUCCCAAGGCAAUGCCCCAUUUGCGUGGUAAAAGGCAACACGACUGUGUACCUCCGGGUAACAGACCACGUUCGCUGGGUGCAAGCGCUGACGGCAGACCCCAUGAAACCGUUGAUGUCAGAGGCACGUGCUAAGACGGUCGGAAAGUGAAGAAGACAAAGCCGAGGAAUUGCUACUCUUGCUGGCUGUGCGACCGGUCGGUGAUUGACCGGCUGCGUCAUCUAGAACAGGAGCACAAAAUGGAGGCUGGGACAUUCAAUUUUGUUUACACAAGAGGGCCGUUUCCGGAAAGUCGCGAAAACUUCAGGAAAGGUGACCAGCAGACUCGCCACUCAUGAUGACUCGGCAUAGGAGGAUGAGAAGGUGGAGGAUGAGGAGGAGGAGGAAGAGGACUUUUCAUUCCUAACGCGGAAAUACUGCCUGAGCCUGGAACCCAAUGCAAGGGUGAUGCAUGGUCGGAGAAGCUGCAAUUUCAAUCGUUGACUCAUAUGUAGACUACAUGUUCCUGCGGAGCAGGCCAGGUGGGUUGGCAAACGAGUCGAAAACACAAGAGGUCAACAUGAAGAUCAACCGGUUCCUGGCCCUGUCUGGCUACUUGGGAGGAGUGGUGUUGAGUGACGUGCUGUUGUGGAUGGGCCAUAUGGAGGUCCACGACAGUUCCUCAACACCACUCACCAGCUGAAGACGGUGCGGAAUGCUCUAACGGCAAUCAAGAACUUCCUGAAGUGGUGCGAGGGAAUGGUCUAGCGGACGCCCGCACAUUGAACAAUGCUUCCUGACCUCAACCUGCCUGGAUAAGAGCCGUCGCGAGGUUGUUCGGAGGGUAGAGGAGAGUGCGGCCAUCCUGACGGACGCAAACCUGGAGCGCCACUUCACUGAAAGUAGGUGUACCUAGAGAUUGAGCUGGAGACAGUGAAGGUGCUGACCUCUGUGUGGAACACUUAGAAGCUGGCAAGUUUUCAUAUUGAAGGGUAUGGUUCCCAACCGCCCAUCACACACAGAAUGUAGCUUGUCGUCUUCCGCAGUAAAAACUGGGUGCUGGAAGAUGCUUACUGCUAUAUUGACUGCUUCCGAGCGCUUCCUGGACCUAAAAAUUAUCUCCCAGCAGCAACCUCCCCAAGGUGUGACGAGAGUCUUCAAGCACUAAACUCACAGUCUGCACAAUAUACGAAAAGAGUGCUAUGGUGCUGUCAUGCUCCUGAACCGGUACUUCCGUGGCUGAGAGAGCUGGCCAUUCUGUAGGAUCUUGAACAGCAGCCUCCACACACAGCUGGUUUGGCAGGUCGUCCUGUAUGGAUGCUAAACACCUCCUAGCCCCUUCAGCACUCAGAUGUAGUCCAUCAUGGGACAAGUACAGGGACUUCUUAAAAUUAAAUUUUGAUUAUAGAUAGUUACCGUACUAAUUUGUUUUAAACAUAACUAAGAUAUUAAAGCAGCAAAUUAAAUGAACUGGUUUCCCUCAACGAAUGAAAAAAUAUUUUAGUUUCAAUCAAUUAGAGUGUACAACUCUGAACUGACCAAAAUGAUCAUCCUGACGAAACUUAUGCAAGAACUUCUAAAAAAAUGAUAAUACAUGUUUAUUUUUUAAUUUCAUUAACUUCCAUAUUACAGCACAGACAGAUAUCUUUAAUUAUGGGGCUUUACGUCUAGAGCUGAAACCAACAAAACGUGCAAGUGUACCACCACAAAGUAAUACAUCUAUUUUAAAAUUCAUGAUAUUUCAUGUAAAAGUUAUUAAGAAACCAGUAAUUGCAACAAAACUGCUCAAUGAGUCAAUUUUCACCAAUUAAGGGGGCAUAUCUCUUGAGCAAAGAAGGAUGUCUGAACAGAAUUUGGGAUUGGUCCACCGCAGUAUAAUGAUGCAUAUAUUUAUUUUAAGUUUCAUGAUGAUGAAAUUCCAUGCAACAGUUGCUGAGAAACUUCCUAUUUCACUCUAGAUCUUUCCCUAUACCUGUUUAGUUGCUCCAUAGUCCAUGUAUCUCACAGAAGGCACAUGGUGACUCAGUUCCCACAGCAUGCUGUUUGCGCUCCUUAUCCACUGGCAGUAGUUCCUCAACUGUGCCCCUGAGAGUGGCCAUCGGGGAAACA